rnacentral:misc_RNA from 1 species
AGGAAACUAAAGUCUUGUAAAUAAGUUAAAUACUUGCACAAUUAUAUCUUCCAAAAGUUGAGUCUACUAUCAUAUCAUUCAAUCUCUUAUGAACUUAGUGACAGACUCACACGUUGACUUGUCAAUCACUUUUCAGCAAAUUCACAAUGUAAAAAAUAAUUAAAUAUAUGUCCAGCAAUCACAAGUUUCUUCUUAAAAUCAG